GAUCCUGGCUCAGGAUGAACGCUAGCUACAGGCUUAACACAUGCAAGUCGAGGGGCAGCAUGAUCUUAGCUUGCUAAGGCCGAUGGCGACCGGCGCACGGGUGAGUAACACGUAUCCAACUUGCCGUCUACUCUUGGACAGCCUUCUGAAAGGAAGAUUAAUACAAGAUGGCAUCAUGAGUUCACAUGUUCACAUGAUUAAAGGUAUUCCGGUAGACGAUGGGGA
rnacentral:rRNA from 1 species